CUGUGUGUCUGUGAUAUAGGGCCCUCCCUGUCCCAGCUCCCUCUGAAUGGCAUUCUCUGUCACUGUCUCAAGGUGACCUUCAGGUGUCCUAUUUCAUUCAGCCCUGUUUCCAUUGUCCAGCUCCUAUUAAUAGCCAGAUAUGGGACAGACCCUUAGCCAAAAAAGGAGGGUGUGAAUUCCCUGCAAUGAGAGCACUGCCACCUC